rnacentral:rRNA from 1 species
GUGACCUCAAAUCAGGUAGGACUACCCGCUGAACUUAAGCAUAUCAAUAAGCGGAGGAAAAGAACUAACAGGAUCCCCUAGUAACUGCGAGUGAAGCGGGAAAAGCUCAAAUUUAAA